rnacentral:misc_RNA from 1 species
GGUGUUUAGGCGCCGCCGACACGGCACAUGCACCAUUAUAUCAAAGCGGUCGUCAAACAGCAAAAGGUAACUGCUGCAAAUUGUUGAGAAAUUCCCUCGAGUGUUUAUGGGCUCCAUCAUCAAACCUGGUCCUGCGACACAGAUGAUCACACAGCAGGUGAUUGCUAUAAAUUGUUGAAAAGUUCCCUCGACUAUCUUUCGUCUCCAUCAUCAGACUGAAAUGGCACUUAUAACUCAUAUAUAUGCAAAGUUCUCAUCAAUAGAAACGAAUUAAGUUCAAACAGCAGGUAAUUGCUAUAAAUUGUUGAAGAGUUCCCUCGACUAUCUUUCUUCUCCAUCAUCAGAUCUAC